rnacentral:sRNA from 1 species
GCCAGGUGCGGUGGCGCCUGCCUGUAAUCCCAGGGGCUCUGGAGGUUGAGGCAGGAGGAUCACAAGUUCAAAGCCAGCCUCAGGAACUCAGUGAGGCUCUGAGCAACUUAGUGACACCCUGUCUCAA